rnacentral:rRNA from 1 species
GCCCAGGCGCGAAACCUUUGCAAUACACGAAAGUGUGACAGGGUCAUCCCGAGUGCCGACCGCUGAGGUUGGCUUUUACCCAGUCUAGAAAGCUGGGGGAAUAAGGAGAGGGCAAGUCUGGUGUCAGCCGCCGCGGUAAUACCAGCUCUCCGAGUGGUGUGGACGUUUAUUGGGCCUAAAGCAUCCGUAGCUGGCUGAUCAAGUCCCCUGUUAAACCCACCGAUUUAAUCGUUGGCUUGCGGGGGAUACUGCUCGGCUAGGGGACGAGAGAGGCAGACGGUAUUCCCGGGGUAGGGGUGAAAUCCUAUAAUCCCGAGAAGACCACCAGUGGCGAAGGCUGUCUGCUAGAACGCGCCCGACGGUGAGGGAUGAAAGCUGGGGGAGCGAACCGGAUUAGAUACCCGGGUAGUCCCAGCUAUAAACGAUGCAGGCUAGGUGUUUGGACGGCCACGCGCCGUUCUAGUGCCGCAGGGAAGCUGUUAAGCCUGCCGCCUGGGGAGUACGAUCGCAAGAUUGAAACUUAAAGGAAUUGGCGGGGGAGCAC